AUUGAACGCUGGCGGCAUGCCUUACACAUGCAAGUCGAACGGCAGCACGGGGGCAACCCUGGUGGCGAGUGGCGAACGGGUGAGAAUGCAUCGGGACGUGCCCAGUAGUGGGGGAUAGCCCGGCGAAAGCCGGAUUAAUACCGCAUACGACCUUGGGGUGAAAGUGGGGGAUCGCAAGACCUCGCGCUGUUGGAGCGGCCGAUGCCAGAUUAGGUUGUUGGUGGGGUAAAGGCCUACCAAGCCGACGAUCUGUAGCUGGUCUGAGAGGACGACCAGCCACACUGGGACUGAGACACGGCCCAGACUCCUACGGGAGGCAGCAGUGGGGAAUUUUGGACAAUGGGCGCAAGCCUGAUCCAGCCAUGCCGCGUGCGGGAAGAAGGCCUUCGGGUUGUAAACCGCUUUUGUCGGGGAAGAAACGCUCUGGGCUAAUAUCCCAGCGUAAUGACGGUACCCGAAGAAUAAGCACCGGCUAACUACGUGCCAGCCGCCGCUGUAA
rnacentral:rRNA from 1 species